AAACCAAGUGUCUUCUCCCAAGAUCUCCAGUUCUGAAAUGAAGAGUUCGACGGAGAAGUCUCUAUUGAUUCAAAGGAAAAACUGAUUUGUAAAGGAGGAAAGAGUGGUUUGUUCUGGCUCAUCAGAGUCUGCUGUAAAGGACUCUGCUUAAAGCUCCCGCUGGCGGAGCAUCUGUAACUGCUCCCGCUGUAGCUCCUCCUCCUCAGCCUGCCUCCGGGACAGUUCGAUGGCCUUCUCAGUCUGCUGCUGGUCAUACUCAUCUUGCAGCUGGUCGGGACUCCAGAGCAGCCUGCAGAGACAUCACACAUCACCAGGGUCACCAUGGUCACCAAGACAGCAGCCUUCCCUGUCUGCUACCCUCUAUGGUCUCAGCAAUACUAAGAUAAUUCAACUGCUCAAACAAAGACAAGCUUAGAUUUCAACAAUAAAGCAAUGUGAGUUAAAAAGAUUCUUUCCCUCUUAGUUUCAUCAACUGUAUACUUUCCUUAAACUUCCAAAGACUGACACCCUUAUCUCCAUCAAGGUUAGAAUUUCAGACAAUACUAAAAUAAACACACUGCUUU
rnacentral:lncRNA from 1 species